rnacentral:rRNA from 1 species
AGAAGUGUGAGAAACACUUCCGCCGAAAGUCCAAGGGUUCCUGCUUAAAGCUAAUCUGAGCAGGGUAAGCCGGCCCCUAAGCCGAGGGCGAAAGCCGUAGGCGAUGGGAACUAGGUUAAUAUUCCUAGGCCAGGAGGAUGUGACGGAUCAUGAAGGUUGUUCAUCCUUAUCGGAUUGGAUGGGCCGCUGAUUGGUUCCUGGAAAUAGCCCUCCAUGAGAUCGUACCCUAAACCGACACAGGUGGUCAGGUUGAAAAUACUAAGGCGUUCGGGUGAACUGUGGUUAAGGAAUUCGGCAAAAUGCCCCCGUAACUUCGGGAGAAGGGGGACCACAACCGGUGACACACAUUCGUGUUGAGCUGGUUGGGGUCGCAGAGAAGAGAGGGGAGCGACUGUUUAUCAAAAACACAGGGCUUUGCUAAAUUGAAA